rnacentral:rRNA from 1 species
UACGGAGGGGGCAAGCAUUGUUCGGAUUUAUUGGGCGUAAAGGGCGUGUAGGCGGGUUUGUAAGUCAGAGGUGAAAUUCCGAAGCUCAACUUCGGAGCUGCAUUUGAACCUACAAGUCUAGAGGAGUAGCGAAGAAAAUGGAAUUCCGCGUGUAGCGGUGAAAUGCGUAGAUAUGUGGAAGAACACCUGUGGCGAAAGCGGUUCUCUAGCUUCUUGCUGACGCUGAGGCGCGAGAGCAUGGGGAGCAAACAGG